AUCUAGGUAUGAAUAUGAAUGGAAUUGUAUGCAUAUGGUGAUUUGUACCAAUGGUGCAUUGGAUUGUUUCCUUUACACAUAGGUGUGUGGUACGUAACACCAAAUUUCCCGCAGCUUGAAUAUUCUACAAGUUUUGGGUUUAAUUUAUGUGACAAUUUAAUAUUUUGGCACAACAAUAGAAAUAUUUUUAGGCUGCAAGGCCAACCAUGUUACUUUAUUUUGCUCAUAUGAUGGUACUGGAUACCUAAGUAUUGAUUCAGUCCAAAGACUGGAUAUAAAAUUAAUUAAAUUCCGUCACAACUACAGCGUUUUCAAUUUAGGACAAUCUUAAUUGGAAAUGAUUUCAAGUUAUUUUUUCUCAUGGGCUUUGCACAGAAAAGCAGAACAUCGUUCUUCAACACAUGCAUGAAAAAGAAUUAUUUAUUUUAACCAAUAAAUGUGAAAAUGAGCUUUAACACGAAAACGAGGCUUCAGCUUAUAACUUGGCGCAACAACUUGAAAUCCUUUCCAUUUAAGAUUGUUCGAGGUUGAAAACAGUGUAGUUGUGACGUAAUUAUCAAAAGGAUGUAUUGAGAUGUCAAUUGACAUCCAAAUUUUCGGACUAGACGGGAUUUCAAAUCCUCAUAUUCGAAAUUGUAAUUAGGUAAAUGGAGUGGAUGAAUACUUGCAUCAUCGAUCGACAAUGUUGAAAUGAUCGAGUGGAAAAUCUUGUAUACGUUUAUUAGACCUAACCAGGAACAGCUGCGAAAAACGCCACUAUAGGUCCCCGGCAUGCAGGAAUCUAACCUGCGGACCUGCGAUUCAUUUGUACGAGAUGCGAACAAAACAUUUAAUCUUAUCGACAUUGUUUGCAUUAAUUAUGCAUUUAUCAUUUGUCUAAAGCAGUCCUUGGUAUUAUGAUGGCGCACUGCUGUGAAGAAAAAGUUGGAACAUGCGAAAAAUUGGAAAUCUGUGUUGUCGCACGCUGUUGGGAGCUGAGCACUGCAGCCAUUCAAUGUUAAAUGUGGUAAUGCUUAUUUAAAUCACAUUUCAAAGUCAUUUGAAAAUUGCUCAUUGUUAAUCUUUACUCAUGUUUAUGUCCUGCUUCGUUCCUGAGAUGCACACAUGCGUAAAAAUUAACUUUGAAUAAUUUUUGCGUAUCGG